GUGGCAGUAGCUUAGUGGUAGAGCUCCCGUUUCGUAAGCGGCGAGACCUGGGAUAGAUUCCCGGCUGCUUACC
rfam:Toxocara canis scaffold534, whole genome shotgun sequence.